GAAAAGCUCCCUUACCCCAGCUUCCUGUGAAACGAUGCAGCAUUAAGGAAACAAAACCAAAAGGGAGAAGUGAAACCCUGCUAAGGGGCCUGUUCUCUGAUGCUGAGGCAACAGAGCACCUGCUCUCGGGGGAAAACUUCUGUACAGAAGUCAUCUGUGAGUACCUGCUGUGCCAUGGCUCUGAUCCUCCAGUACUCAGCCUCAGCGCUUGGUGAGAGGGAGGGGGCUGCCACCUUCACUUCACAGGCAUCUCCACUGAAGCUUUCAGUACC